GCCGGCAAGCGCGAUGUUUUAUUUAACAGAGGUUUAUACAACGUUCUCAGUCUUUUCGAGGUGGGCCUUCGUUCGGUCAGGGACAUUCUAGGGAAUUUCUUGGCGGACGAAUGGUUACCGUGACGGACACCGCUUAAAACAUUCCUCGCGAUACGUAUUUUGGAAAAUAUUUUCAGAAACGUCGAAUAUCUCUCUCUCUCUUUGUAGUUUCCAAUCUUGAAAGAAUUAAAAGAGAUACUUUUUUGAAGAAAGAAAAGGAAUUAAAAGAAUUUUUGCGAAAUUGUUACUUUGAAAGGUGAAAAGAAAAAGAAAAAACUACCAUUGUCCCGGUUGAGAACAUGUUACACGAUUUAUAAAACGUUUCAUCGAGUUAAAAUUGUUCAAUCCUUUUUCACGAAGCGAUCAACAUAUUCGUACACACCAAAAAAGAAAAAAAAAAAAAUUUUUCUCGAGACAGAAAAAUUUCAAUUGUCGACUAUUUAAAAUAUGGACGAAACGAGAGAGAUGAAAAAAAAACGUCGAAUCCAUCGAGAAAGAAAUUUUUUUUCGAAUGAUAAUACGAGCGCAAAUGACGAAUUAAUUUAAUUCUGAAAUCUAUCUCUAUUGUGCAUGGUCAAAGGUAGAAGGAGUAUGGAUAUAAUGAACGGAAAUAAACUAAACUUGCCUCGUUACGAUUCGACGACGAAACGGCUACAUCGAAAACAAAAUCAUUAAUUAAUUUGUGGAACGACACAAACUGCGGAAAUCCAGUCAACUCGGUCAAUGACGUGAAACUUUAAAGCAUCGCGAGUCUGAUUAAACGAAUCUUGUCGCUUUAUACGUUUAUUAAAAUUAUAAUUAAUAAAAUACACGUUACACGUACGUCCCGUGAAAAUUGGCCGCCAUUAUCGUAAUGGGGAAAUAUUUAGACGGCCGAGAUCACGCCUCGUCGAAUAAUAGGAAAGAGGAUAUAAAAAUAGGAAACGAAAGAGGAAAUUAAAUUAGUUGAGAAGCUUUUGGCAAAGUUUUAUGCACUAGUCGAUGGAAAUAAAAAUGGAGAUACAAUCGUUUUUCGAAGAGUAUCGGUGAUUUAAAAUUAUUAGGUUAGAUUCGAUUAAGUUAGGUUAGGAACGAUCGAUAACAACAAAUUCGAUCGAACUCGUAAUUCGAAAAGUUAUCCUUUAACUCGUAAAAUUGUGAGAUUUUUCAAGAACGAAUUUCUAGUAACUAUCGACUAAUUUCUCGAAAAUUCGGAAAAUUAGUUCUAAAAUUAUUCGUUCGAUUCAAAUUCUAUCCCAUGCGAUUUCGAAAUUAUUAUUCUUCUACGCGUGACGAAAGUGUAAAUGAAGUUAAAAAUAGAAAAAUAUUUAUAAAAUCUAAAAAAAGUAUAAUUGUAGAAAAAACAUUUCAAUAAUUUCGAAAUUUGUGUAGUAGAAGUGAAAAUUAAUAAAGAUUAACAAUUUUAAUUCCUUGGUUAAUAAUACCGAAUAUUAUUCGUGAUACGAAUUAAGCAUUAAACACAACAGGCUGUACCAAAUUUAAUUCCAAAUCGUAAGUUAAAUUAAUGAAUACAAAUUACAUGAUAUUUUACACGUUUCGGACAUAUUAAACAUUAAACAGUCACGAGGAAAAUUAUUGAAGCGAGGAUUUAACGAUAUAUAAAAACUUCGAGAAUAAAUUUAACAAAGUAUAUCGUAUCCACGAUCGGUAUAACUAUAUACUCGGUCGAUAAAUUUUCGCCCAUAAUUAAUGAAACCGGCUGUACGAUCGAAUUUACACGUUAUCGCGAACCGUCGAUGUUAAUGUGUCGAGCAACAAUUAGCCGUAUCAUCGGGCAACAAUUAAUAACCGGAUGAUCGAUACAAUUUAGCAUGCCAGAAGGGAAGUGUCUAUUAAUCUCGCGUUCCUUCCUUCGAGAAAUUUAGGUCGUCGUAUAAGGAAUAAGGUUCACGUAUCCGUGUCAAUUAUCAUCUCAUUAAUUCGAUUACCGGCCAUUUACUCGAUCUAGAUCCCGAAAACCGAUAUUACACGUAUUACAGUAGGCAAGACUCCGUGAACGGAGCGAGAAGCACAAAGAUGGAGUCAAAAAUACACGAAACAGUCUAAUGAAACGGUACGGAAGAAUGGAGAGGUUUUAGUCGGCUAUAACUACUUGUGGCAGUACCCUGUUGCUGGGAGGUGUUACUGUAUCGAUCACUGGAAGCGCGUGUUACUAACACGCGCGCAGAAUAUUCCUGGGGCUUUUAAGACGUUUCAAAAGCAGCAUAUACGAACGGCGAAACCAAUCACAGUCGUCAAAAUGGAAUCAUUUUUUGCUUUGUGCACCGUCGAUGUCGCGUAUGCUUGAAAUUUAAAUCGGUUUUUCAGUUCGCGUUUCCGAAUAUAACGUUCACCGCACGAGAGGUCCUUUCGAAACGCCUUUGUGAAACGAAAGAGAAGAAAAAAAAAACGAAUAAAUGGCAGGAACGAAAAACGCGUUUUACGCAGCUUCGACUUUGAAAAUUCUAAUUUUACGCGAUAAUUGAGAAA